rnacentral:rRNA from 1 species
UACGUAGGGUCCGAGCGUUGUCCGGAAUUAUUGGGCGUAAAGAGCUCGUAGGCGGUUUGUCGCGUCUGCUGUGAAAUCCCGAGGCUCAACCUCGGGCCUGCAGUGGGUACGGGCAGACUGGAGUGCGGUAGGGGAGAAUGGAAUUCCUGGUGUAGCGGUGGAAUGCGCAGAUAUCAGGAGGAACACCGAUGGCGAAGGCAGCUCACUGGGACGGUACUGACGCUGAGGCGCGAAAGCGUGGGGAGCAAACAGG